UGUCUCGAGCCACAAAAUCCACAGAAA
rnacentral:piRNA from 1 species